rnacentral:rRNA from 1 species
UACGUAGGGGGCAAGCGUUGUCCGGAUUUAUUGGGCGUAAAGAGCGUGUAGGCGGCCAGGUAGGUCAGCUGUGAAAACUCGAGGCUCAACCUCGAGACGCCGGUUGAAACCAUCUGGCUAGAGUCCGGAAGAGGAGAGUGGAAUUCCUGGUGUAGCGGCGAAAUGCGCAGAUAUCAGGAGGAACACCAAUGGCGAAGGCAGCACUCUGGGACGUGACUGACGCUGAGACGCGAAAGCGUGGGGAGCAAACAGG